rnacentral:sRNA from 1 species
CGUCGUCGAUCUGCUGCGGGCAGAUGAAGUGGAUGUGGCUGUCGAAGGCCCCCGCCGUCAGGAUCUUGCCCUCGCCCGCGAUCGCCUCCGUCCCCGGACCGACGAUGAUGUCGACGCCGCUCUGGGUGUCCGGGUUGCCGGCCUUGCCGAUCUUGGCGAUCCGCCCGUCCCUGAGCCCGACAUCGGCCUUGUAGAUCCCGGUAACGUCGAGGAUCAACGCGUUGGUGAUCACCGUGUCCACGGCACCAUCGGCCCGCGUCGCCUGCGAUUGGCCCAUGCCGUCACG